UACGAAGGGUGCAAGCGUUACUCGGAAUUACUGGGCGUAAAGCGUGCGUAGGCGGUUUGUUAAGUCCGCUGUGAAAUCCCCGGGCUCAACCUGGGAAUGGCAGUGGAAACUAGGAGACUUGAAUCUGGCAGAGGGGGGUGGAAUUCCACGUGUAGCAGUGAAAUGCGUAGAGAUGUGGAGGAACACCGAUGGCGAAGGCAGCCCCCUGGGCUGAGAUUGACGCUCAGGCACGAAAGCGUGGGGAGGCAAACAGG
rnacentral:rRNA from 1 species